rnacentral:rRNA from 1 species
UGGGGAAUAUUGCACAAUGGGCGCAAGCCUGAUGCAGCCAUGCCGCGUGUAUGAAGAAGGCCUUCGGGUUGUAAAGUACUUUCAGUCGGGAGGAAGGUGUCAAGGUUAAUAACCUUGGCAAUUGACGUUACCGACAGAAGAAGCACCGGCUAACUCCGUGCCAGCAACCGCGGUAAUACGGAGGGUGCAAGCGUUAAUCGGAAUUACUGGGCGUAAAGCGCACGCAGGCGGUUGAUUGAGUCAGAUGUGAAAUCCCCGGGCUUAACCCGGGAAUUGCAUCUGAUACUGGUCAGCUAGAGUCUUGUAGAGGGGGGUAGAAUUCCAUGUGUAGCGGUGAAAUGCGUAGAGAUGUGGAGGAAUACCGGUGGCGAAGGCGGCCCCCUGGACAAAGACUGACGCUCAGGUGCGAAAGCGUGGGGAGCAAACAGG